rnacentral:rRNA from 1 species
GACGAACGUUGGCGGCGCGCUUAACACAUGCAAGUCGAACGGAAAGGCCUGCUUUCCCUUGUGGAUUGCGGGUACUCGAGUGGCGAACGGGUGAGUAACACGUGAGUGAUCUGCCCCCAACUUGGGUAUAAGCCUGGGAAACUGGGUCUAAUUCCCGAUAGGACUGCAGGGUGGUGCCUGUGGUGGAAAACGAUUUUCUAGUGGUUGGGGAUGAGCUCGCGGCCUAUCAGCUUGUUGGUGGGGUAAUGGCCUACCAAGGCGGCGACGGGUAGCCGGCCUGAGAGGGUGGACGGCCACAUUGGGACUGAGAUACGGCCCAGACUCCUACGGGAGGCAGCAGUGGGGAAUAUUGCACAAUGGGCGGAAGCCUGAUGCAGCGACGCCGCGUGGGGGAUGACGGCCUUCGGGUUGUAAACUCCUUUCGACCGCGAGGAAGCCACCUGGUUGGAAGGGUGGUGACGGUAGUGGUAGAAGAAGCACCGGCUAACUACGUG